rnacentral:rRNA from 1 species
GAUGAACGCUGGCGGCGUGCCUAAUACAUGCAAGUCGAGCGAACAGACGAGGAGCUUGCUCCUCUGACGUUAGCGGCGGACGGGUGAGUAACACGUGGAUAACCUACCUAUAAGACUGGGAUAACUUCGGGAAACCGGAGCUAAUACCGGAUAAUAUAUUGAACCGCAUGGUUCAAUAGCGAAAGACGGUUUUGCUGUCACUUAUAGAUGGAUCCGCGCCGCAUUAGCUAGUUGGUAAGGUAACGGCUUACCAAGGCAACGAUGCGUAGCCGACCCGAGAGGGGGGAUCGGCAGCCGGGAACUGAGGACCGGUCCCGACUCCUACGGGGAGGCACCGUAGGGAAUCCUACGGAAGGGGGCAAAGGCCUACGGAGGACACGCGGCGUAGGUAUGAAGGAUCUCCGAUCCGUAAACUCUGUUAUUAGGGAAGAACAAAUGUGUAAGUAACUAUGCACGUCUUGACGGUACCUAAUCAGAAAGCCACGGCUAACUACGUG